GGAGGUUUAGCUCAGCGGCAUAAGCGCCUGCCUUGCAAGCAGGCAAUCGCCAGUUCGAUCCCUGGUACCA
rnacentral:tRNA from 1 species